UACAGAGGUCUCGAGCGUUAGGCGGAAUCACUGGGCUUAAAGCGUGUGUAGGCGGAUCGGUAAGUACCUUGUGAAAUCCCACAGCUUAACUGUGGAACUGCUUGGUAUACUGCCAGUCUUGAGCCAGCUAGGGGCUACCGGAACAAGUGGUGGAGCGGUGAAAUGCGUAGAUAUCAUUUGGAACGCCAAUGGUGAAAACAGGUAGCUGGGGCUGUGCUGACGCUGAGACACGAAAGCCAGGGGAGCGAACGGG
rnacentral:rRNA from 1 species